rnacentral:rRNA from 1 species
CUACGGGGGGCUGCAGCGAGGAAUAUUGCACAAUGGGGGGGACCCUGAUGCAGCAACGCCGCGUGGAGGAUGACGCAUUUCGGUGUGUAAACUCCUUUUAUAUGUCAAGAAAAUGACGGUAGCAUAUGAAUAAGCACCGGCUAACUCCGUGCCAGCAGCCGCGGUAAUACGGAGGGUGCAAGCGUUACUCGGAAUCACUGGGCGUAAAGGACGCGUAGGCGGGUUGGAAAGUCAGGUGUGAAAUCCUACAGCUUAACUGUAGAACUGCACUUGAAACUUCUAAUCUAGAGUAUGGGAGGGGGAGAUGGAAUUAGUGGUGUAGGGGUAAAAUCCGUAGAUAUCACUAGGAAUACCUAAAGCGAAGGCGAUCUCCUGGAACAUUACUGACGCUAAGGCGUGAAAGCGUGGGGAGCAAACAGGAUUAGAUACCCGAGUAGUC